UUUCCCCAGGAACCAGCCGAACUGGUUUCGAAAGCCUGAGCUAGCUCCGUCUGCUACCAGCGCGAACGGAAACUGAACCAGAACGACUUCACCCCCGGCCGAGUCUGCACCAAAACGUGCGCCGGUUGAAACAACUGCAUGGCCCCUGGGGUUGUUUGGUUGUGUCUCCCCACGUACUCUUUACUUCCAGUUUAAAACCCAUCAGUGAAACCUUCACAGACAGUAUGUAUGCUCAGCUGACUAGCAAUGCACUGGAAUAGAGCAGCUGGCGUAUGGACUGCACAUAUGAAACAAAGUUGGAGAGGGAAUAGCGGGUGGAAAACUGCAACAGUUUAUCAGCUGGAAAUUACAUGUAAUGAAACAACCACUCACAAAAGCAUGGAGAAAUUUGGAAAGAAGCAGAGGAAAAAGAGUCCUGACUGGGGAAAUGCCAGGCGUGCGGAAGGCAAGGGCUUUACCUCACCGGGAUUGCACUAGGGAUCUGCACAUCACACACACGACAGACAAAACCACACUUAGGUGAUGCUAAUUCACUUGAGGUUACUACUAUGUUAAAGGACGAGAUCAACUAAUUUCACCAUUACUAUUGAAGACUUUUUUUUUCUCUGAAUUUUAUUUAUUCCUCCUUGCCAGAUAUUUACUUUGGAAACUCAGUAUAUAAAUAUUUGUUUUGAGAGGAAAUGUUAAAAAAAAAAACCAAACCAAACCAAACCUUGUCCCAAAGCCACGAGUGAUUAAUUGCUUAAGGAGACUCACAGUUUCCUUCAAGCCCAAGCGGGCAGUUCCAUCUAGACCAUGACAAAUCCAGUUUGCUCACAAACACACGGACUGCAUUUCCUUUGGAAAACAUUUAAUACACCCACGAAGGACUGAUCACAACAACACGAAGCACGCACGCAUACUGCCACGAAAACAGACACACCAGCGAUUUUAACAGCCUUGCAAAGCACCCAGUAUACAGUUACAUUUUGGCAGGCCCUCCCCGUCAGGAGCUCGCCUGCGGUGGGAGUCCCCGCGCAAAGCUGCGCUGCGCGGCAGGGAGAAACGCUCGUUCUCCACACCGCCUUUUUGUCACUAACGGGCACGGGCACCCUUUGAAAAGGCAGGAAAAAACCGCGGCCACCCGGAAGGGCCCCCCAAUCCCAGCUCACAGACUGAACUACACGGAGGCACCUGCAGCGUACGCAGGAUGGGGAAUGGCAGCCGCGCGCAAUAUAUAUAUUUAUUGGCGAUCACCAGCCCCCGGCUCCUCUCAGGCAGCGCGCGCGACCCCAAC
rnacentral:lncRNA from 1 species